GUGGGGAAUAUUGGACAAUGGGCGAAAGCCUGAUCCAGCCAUGCCGCGUGUGUGAAGAAGGUCUUCGGAUUGUAAAGCACUUUAAGUUGGGAGGAAGGGCAGUAAGUUAAUACCUUGCUGUUUUGACGUUACCGACAGAAUAAGCACCGGCUAACUUCGUGCCAGCAGCCGCGGUAAUACGAAGGGUGCAAGCGUUAAUCGGAAUUACUGGGCGUAAAGCGCGCGUAGGUGGUUUUGUAAGUGUGAGGUGAAAUCCCCGGGCUCAACCUGGGAACUGCCUCCGAAACUGCAGGACUAGAGUACGGUAGAGGGUAGUGGAAAUUCCUGUGUAGCGGUGAAAUGCGUAGAUAUAGGAAGGAACACCAGUGGCGAAGGCGACUACCUGGACUGAUACUGACGCUGAGGUGCGAAAGCGUGGGGAGCAAACAGGAUUAGAUACCCUAGUAGUCC
rnacentral:rRNA from 1 species